ACUCAAAUGAAUAGACGGGGACCCGCACAACCAGUGGAGCGUGUGGUUCAAUUCGAGACGAAACGAAGGACCUCACCAGGGUUUGACAUAGUAGCGUUCUAUUUUCCAGAAAUGGAAGAAAUCCGCAAGGAGGCUAUUACAGGUGCUGCAUGGUUGUCGUCAGCUCGUGCCGUGAGGUGUUCCCUUAAGUGGGGAAACGAGCGCAACCCCCAUCCAAUGUUACAUUAUUCAUUGGAAACUGACCCAAUUUACGUUGGGAAGGAAGGAGGGGAAGACGUCAAAUCAGCACGGCCCUUAUACCCUGGGCAACACACACACUACAAUGGCGAAAAACAACGAGCCGCAAGCGCGCAAGUGCAAGCAAAUCUCUCAAAUUUCGCCUCAGUUCAGAUUGGGGUCUGCAACUCGACCCCAUGAAGUCGGAAUUGGUAGUAAUCGCAGGUCAGCAAACUGCGGUGAAUACGUUCUCGGGUCUUGUACACACCGCCCGU
rnacentral:rRNA from 1 species